CAAGUCGAGCGCGCCCUUCGGGGUGAGCGGCGGACGGGUGAGUAACGCGUGGGAAUAUGCCCUUCUCUAAGGAAUAGCCUCGGGAAACUGAGAGUAAUACCUUAUACGCCCUACGGGGGAAAGAUUUAUCGGAGAAGGAUUAGCCCGCGUUAGAUUAGGUAGUUGGUGGGGUAAUGGCCUACCAAGCCUACGAUCUAUAGCUGGUUUGAGAGGAUGAUCAGCCACACUGGGACUGAGACACGGCCCAGACUCCUACGGGAGGCAGCAGUAGGGAAUCUUAGACAAUGGGGGAAACCCUGAUCUAGCCAUGCCGCGUGUGUGAUGAAGGCCUUAGGGUCGUAAAGCACUUUCGCCAGAGAUGAUAAUGACAGUAUCUGGUAAAGAAACCCCGGCUAACUCCGUGCCAGCAGCCGCGGUAAUACGGAGGGGGUUAGCGUUGUUCGGAAUUACUGGGCGUAAAGCGCACGUAGGCGGAUUAGUAAGUUAGAGGUGAAAUCCCAGGGCUCAACCCUGGAACUGCCUUUAAUACUGCUAGUCUUGAGUUCGAGAGAGGUAAGUGGAAUUCCGAGUGUAGAGGUGAAAUUCGUAGAUAUUCGGAGGAACACCAGUGGCGAAGGCGGCUUACUGGCUCGAUACUGACGCUGAGGUGC
rnacentral:rRNA from 1 species